GCCCGCUUAGCUCAGUGGUAGAGCGCGUCACUUGUACCUGAAUAGGCCGGGAGAUGAUGAGGUCGGUUGUUCAAUCCAGCCAGUGGGCA